rnacentral:rRNA from 1 species
UAGAGUUUGAUCCUGGCUCAGGAUAAACGCUGGCGGCGUGCCUAACACAUGCAAGUCGAACGCACUUGAGGAAUCAAGUGAGUGGCGGACGGGUGAGGAACACGUGGGUUAUCUACCUUGAGGUGAGGAAUACCGGCGAGAAAUCGCCGACAAUACCGCAUACGUUUGGAAACAAACAAAGUCUCGUGAGAGACGCCCCAAGAUGAGCCUGCGCCCGAUUAGCUUCGUUGGUGGGGUAAUGGCCUACCAAGGCAACAAUCGGUAGCUGGUCUGAGAGGACGAUCAGCCACACUGGGAUUGAGAACGGCCCAGACUCCUACGGGGGGCAGCAGUGAGGAAUUUUCGUCAAUGGGGGCAACCCUGAACGAGCAACGCCGCGUGCAGGAAGAAGGUUUUCGGAUCGUAAACUGCUUUACUUGGGGAAGAGAAUGGACGGUACCCAAGCAACAAGCCCCGGCUAACUACGUGCCAGCAGCCGCGGUAAUACGUAGGGGGCAGGCGUUGUCCGGAUUUAUUGGGCGUAAAGCGCACGCAGGCGGUCGUAUAAGUUUCGAGUGACAGGGAGGGGCUUAACUCCUCCAGGCCUUGGAAAACUGUGCGACUUGAGGACGAGAGAGGGACGCGGAAUUCCAGGUGGAGCGGUGAAAUGCGUAGAGAUCUGGAAGAACACCAAAGGCGAUGGCAGCGUCCUGGCUCGUAACUGACGCUCAUGUGCGAAAGCUAGGGGAGCGAACGGGAUUAGAUACCCCGGUAGUCUAGCGUAAACGAUGGCCACUAGACGUAGGAGUAUCGACGCCUUCUGUGUCGCAGCUCACGCACUAAGUGGUCCGCCUAGA